rnacentral:rRNA from 1 species
ACACAUGCAAGUCGAGGGGCAGCAUGGUCUUAGCUUGCUAAGGCUGAUGGCGACCGGCGCACGGGUGAGUAACACGUAUCCAACCUGCCGUCUACUCUUGGACAGCCUUCUGAAAGGAAGAUUAAUACAAGAUGGCAUCAUGAGUCCGCAUGUUCACAUGAUUAAAGGUAUUCCGGUAGACGAUGGGGAUGCGUUCCAUUAGAUAGUAGGCGGGGUAACGGCCCACCUAGUCUUCGAUGGAUAGGGGUUCUGAGAGGAAGGUCCCCCACAUUGGAACUGAGACACGGUCCAAACUCCUACGGGAGGCAGCAGUGAGGAAUAUUGGUCAAUGGGCGAGAGCCUGAACCAGCCAAGUAGCGUGAAGGAUGACUGCCCUAUGGGUUGUAAACUUCUUUUAUAAAGGAAUAAAGUCGGGUAUGUAUACCCGUUUGCAUGUACUUUAUGAAUAAGGAUCGGCUAACUCCGUGCCAGCAGCCGCGGUAAUACGGAGGAUCCGAGCGUUAUCCGGAUUUAUUGGGUUUAAAGGGAGCGUAGAUGGAUGUUUAAGUCAGUUGUGAAAGUUUGCGGCUCAACCGUAAAAUUGCAGUUGAUACUGGAUAUCUUGAGUGCAGUUGAGGCAGGCGGAAUUCGUGGUGUAGCGGUGAAAUGCUUAGAUAUCACGAAGAACUCCGAUUGCGAAGGCAGCCUGCUAAGCUGCAACUGACAUUGAGGCUCGAAAGUGUGGGUAUCAAACAGGAUUAGAUACCCUGGUAGUCCACACGGUAAACGAUGAAUACUCGCUGUUUGCGAUAUACGGCAAGCGGCCAAGCGAAAGCGUUAAGUAUUCCACCUGGGGAGUACGCCGGCA